rnacentral:lncRNA from 1 species
AGUUGCUUUGGAUAAAACUGUCAAGCGAAUGCUUGAAUUUUAAUUGUCAAGUCUGAUCAUACAGUACGUCUCAAAGUUAAACGUUUCACAAUGGGUAGGACAGAUGUUAAGAAUGUUAAAACCCACCAAAGUGCUGUGAUAAAGGGUAAAUAUUGCUGGAUUUGCUGCUGAAGUUCUGAUAACCCAGCUUUAUCACCUUUUGUGCAGGACUCUUCAUAAGACUGAUUGAUGAUGACUACCUUACUCUUAUCAAACCAUUUCUUUUCCUUAAGACUUCUCUUCGGAAGUAACCUAAGAUGCACUGUAAUACAAUAGAGAUUUCCUGCUCUCUUUGUCCAGGGGAUUGUGGUAUGCCAGUGGAGGGCACGGUGUGAACGGAGAGGGCAGGGGAACAUGAAUAGGUCUGCUCUGCUGGGACUGGCACUCUCCGGCUCUGCGGUGGGAUAAAAGCGACGGUGAGGAUUAGAGGAGAGUUCUUCAGCUUGCGGGAUAAGCUGAUCUUCCACACUUCAGAUAUCCAUGACCAGCAUUGCGAAAAACCAUUUGAAAUUCGAGAGAUGAAUGAACGUUCCAGGUUGGCCUAUAAACUGACGUCACGACUGAACAGAUCUGCGAAGCUGGUGAGCAUUUGUAAUCUUUUUUACACCAUUAAUUAAUCAAUGAACAAAUCAGAUACUUGCCUGUUCUCGUUUCCUCUGAGCUUGUGACUUCUUUCAUGCUAUAACAUGAGUGUCAGCACAUGAAGAAUUAUGUGCGAGUUGGCCCAAACGAAUGAUCUGCAGGUCUCAAAUAAAUGAGUGGAAAGACUGCGGCUCUGAAAUAUGGAAUCGGGGAUGGCUUUCAAACAAUAAAGAGAAUAAAUAAAGGGACCUUUCACCCAAAGGAAAAUGUCCCGCUUAAUAUUCAUUAACGCUGAGCAGUAGGGAGUCAGCAAGAAAUGUUCUCUGACAUUGAUACAGCCGUGAAAUAUUCAAGAGAUGAUGUUCUCCAGUCUCAGGGGGCAUGUGAGAGACAGUUUGUCUUUUGUAUCUGAAGUUUUAUGAAGAAUGUUCCUCCUUCCUCUUGAUCAUUGGAAAGGCCAUGGGAAAGACCUGCCCGUGAUUUGCCCUCUGCCAUUAGACGUAUUCAGUGCCACGCUUCUCAACUGACGAGAACCGCUGCUUUAUAUAUACUCUGUGGUUUGAACGGUAUUGUGUGUAUUCUGAUCUCAGUGCAUCACACA